UACGAAGGGGGCUAGCGUUGUUCGGAUUUACUGGGCGUAAAGCGCACGUAGGCGGAUCUUUAAGUCAGAGGUGAAAUCCCAAGGCUCAACCUUGGAACUGCCUUUGAUACUGGGGAUCUUGAGUCCGGGAGAGGUGAGUGGAACUGCGAGUGUAGAGGUGAAAUUCGUAGAUAUUCGCAAGAACACCAGUGGCGAAGGCGGCUCACUGGCCCGGUACUGACGCUGAGGUGCGAAAGCGUGGGGAGCAAACGGGG
rnacentral:rRNA from 1 species